rnacentral:misc_RNA from 1 species
GUGAAUCAUCAAAUCUUUGAACGCAAAUUGCACUCUCUGGUAUUCCGGAGAGUAUGCCUGUUUGAGGGUCAGUUUAAAUAACAAUCGGUGUGGUUGCUGCUUUUAGUGGUGACGCACCGGAUGUGGGUCGUCUUGCAUUCUGUUAAGUGACCUAAAAUUUUGCAUGAUUUUUUUCGAACGUAUUUAAAUGAUUUUACGUACGUUUCAGAUAUAGAAUAUUAGGUGUGGUCAACUUCAU